AGUCUGCAACUCGACUACAUGAAGCUGGAAUCGCUAGUAAUCGCGGAUCAGAAUGCCGCGGUGAAUACGUUCCCGGGUCUUGUACACACCGCCCGUCACACCAUGGGAGUCAGUAACGCCCGAAGCCGGUGACCCAACCAAACCUGGAGGGAGCCGUCGAAGGCGGGACGGAUGACUGGGGUGAAGUCGUAACAAGGUACC
rnacentral:rRNA from 1 species